AAGCGCUUAGAGCACUCUGGCAUCAGCACCCUUUUACUAGGAGAAAGGCCUGGACAUUAAGCGUUCUUUCUUCUAUAGCCUGACUGAAUCCUGACCAUGGGACCCCUAACCUAGAUGGUCAAGUGGGACUUUCGUGAGCUUAUGAAUUUUUAUAAGGUUCUAUUUUUGCAAUAUCAUGUAAUGCUCCAGUACCAAUGGACACGUCAUCUGCUGACCUUUCAGCUGGUGAGGCACUUCCCCAGCACAGAGCCUCGAGGCCACUGGUUUUCUCCUCCGGGGUGAGGCUGUUUAGUGCUCUCUGCUCUCCUCUGCCAUUUGCAUCCCGACAUCCUUAUUUUAACAUCUGCCUACCUUCGCUGAGAAAGGCCCGCCGGUGAUGCCCUCCUGGGUGCUCAGCAAUGCCCAGGGGACCCUGUGGUUUCGGCAAGGUGCAGGCAUCAUGAAACCGAGAGAGAAGAACAAGUGGAGCGAAGAAGUUACUCAAAGGUUCUGCUGUCACUGUCACCUGCCUCUGCUAUACUACUUCCUCAGGAAGCUACCUCUCCUGCUGUUUCUCUACCCCGCGCCCGCCUGCUGAGAUCUUCAGUGCUGAGUCCCAGCCGACCUUCCCAGAAGCUUGCAGAAACCAUCAACCUGUGUUCAAAUGCCAACUUUGUCCUUGACAAAAUGACCUUGAGUAUGUUAUUCAGGUUUUUUGGAGCCUCCUUUUCCUAAUUUGAAAAAAAAAGUAGGGGGAAAGAUAGUAUUUACCUCACAGUUUUAUUUUGCUUUUCAAAGAUUAAAUGAGAUCAUGAGAGCAAAAACUGCUUAGCAUAUAGAAGAUAAAAAGAGUUUUGUUGAUCUGUGGAUCUUCUGGAGGAGCUGGAUUUAUUUUCCUUUUUCUCCAGCUCUAGAGCAUUAUCAGCCUUCUCUGUUCUGCUUCAGUCAGAGUUGUCUGUGUUUGUGGGGUGGGGUCACAAACUCACGCUACUCCUUUUAGUAUUUCCUCUGGUGUCUUUAGCAUAAUCCUGGCUCGAGUCAUUACAUCAAGUUAAAUAGACCUCCUGGAUGUUUCUCCAUGACAUUUAUUCCAAUGACGUCUUUGAGCUGGGGUAUGGAGGCUGCCCAUGUCUUACCUGUCAGACUGCUCAAGACCUGCACCCUGCAGGCCUCAUGGGCACCUCAGAUCCAACCUGCCUCAACCUGAAUUCCCUAGGUCCACUCCUCCUACAGCCUUGGGCAAUGGUUCUCAAUCAUGGCUGUUUUCGCCCCAGCAGAGCAUGUGGCAGUGUGUGGAGGUUUUUGGGAUUGUUACUACUAGGGCAUCUCUGAGGUAGAGGUCAGAUGCUGUUAAAUGGAUGCACCUUGAGACCAUAAUGCUAAGAGAAAUAAAUCAGACACACAAGCUUUUGCAUCACAUGGCUUCUCUUGUGUGAAAUCCCCAAGUUAUAAAUAAUUUAAAGAGCAAAAUAAAAGAGAUAAUACAAAAUAGGGCUAUAGAUUCUUUGCAAAUGGA